rnacentral:rRNA from 1 species
GUAGGGAAUAUUGGGCAAUGGAGGCAACUCUGACCCAGCCAUGCCGCGUGCAGGAUGACGGCCCUCUGGGUUGUAAACUGCUUUUAUACGGGAAGAAAAAAUACUACGUGUAGUAUACUGACGGUACCGUAAGAAUAAGGAUCGGCUAACUCCGUUCCAGCAGCCGCGGUAAUACGGAGGAUCCAAGCGGUGUCCGGAUUUAUUGGGUUUAAAGGGUGCGUAGGCGGAUCUUUAAGUCAGUGGUGAAAGCCUGCAGCUUAACUAUAGAAUUGCCAUUGAAACUGAAGAUCUUGAAUGUGGUUAAAGUAGGCGGAUUGUAUCAGGUAGCGGUGAAAUGCUUAGAUAUGAUACAGAACACCGAUAGCGAAGACAGCUUGCUGAACCAUUAUUGACGCUGAGGCACGAAAGCGUGGGGAGCGAACAGGAUUAGAAACCCGGGUAGUCC